rnacentral:lncRNA from 10 species
CUCCUGCAGCACAAAAACUCCACGAACGUCUGUGUGUGCCUUCACUGGGAACGAGGAGAGGGAGUCAGAGGGCAGCGAGGCCGGGCAGCGAGGGAGGCAGAGCCCCUCUGUUGGUGUGGGGUGGAGGCAGCCUUUUAUCCUGCGCCUCCGGUGCUGUGGCUGGGAAGGCAAGGUACUCAUGCCACCCUCCAAGGUGAAGAGAAGACCCACCUGCUUUUCUCUGCCAUCACCAGAUCCUCCCAGGCACUCUCCCCACAGUCGGUCCAGCCAGGCACACUCGGCCUGAUCUAGUGAUUCAAGCUGUCUUUCCAGGACUUGGCCUCUGCAGGUACACAGAACUCAAGAGCCUUGAUAUAUGCACGAUAUGUUCAAUGGCAUUCAGGAAUUGGAAUGACUGCAUAGAACAGGAAACCCAGAUCACAG